CCUACGGGUGGCAGCAGUGAGGAAUAUUGCUCAAUGGGGGAAACCCUGAAGCAGCAACGCCGCGUGGAGGAUGACGGUUCUCGGAUUGUAAACUUCUUUUGUUACAGAAGUUAAUGACGGUAUCUAACGAAUAAGCACCGUCUAACUCCGUUCCAGCAGCCGCGGUACUACGGAGGGUGCACGCGUUACUCGGAAUCACUGGGCGUAAAGCGCGCGUAUGCGGGUUAGCAAGUCAGAUGUGAAAUCCUAUGGCUUAACCAUAGAACUGCAUUUGAAACUGUUAUGCUAGAGUAUGGGAGAGGUAGGUGGAAGUCUUGGUGUAGGAGUAAAAUCCGUAGAGAUCAAGAGGAAUACUCAUUGCGAAGGCGACCUGCUAGAACAUAACUGACGCUGAUGCGCGAAGGCGUGGGGAGCAAACAGGAUUAGAUACCCCGGUAGUC
rnacentral:rRNA from 1 species